rnacentral:rRNA from 1 species
UGGCGACCGGGUGACUAACACGUGGGUAACCUGCCCAUCAGAAGGGGAUAACACUUGGAAACAGGUGCUAAUACCGUAUAACAAUCGAAACCGCAUGGUUUUGAUUUGAAAGGCGCUUUCGGGUGUCGCUGAUGGAUGGACCCGCGGUGCAUUAGCUAGUUGGUGAGGUAACGGCUCACCAAGGCCACGAUGCAUAGCCGACCUGAGAGGGUGAUCGGCCACAUUGGGACUGAGACACGGCCCAAACUCCUACGGGAGGCAGCAGUAGGGAAUCUUCGGCAAUGGACGAAAGUCUGACCGAGCAACGCCGCGUGAGUGAAGAAGGUUUUCGGAUCGUAAAACUCUGUUGUUAGAGAAGAACAAGGAUGAGAGUAACUGUUCAUCCCUUGACGGUAUCUAACCAGAAAGCCACGGCUAACUACGUGCCAGCAGCCGCGGUAAUACGUAGGUGGCAAGCGUUGUCCGGAUUUAUUGGGCGUAAAGCGAGCGCAGGCGGUUUCUUAAGUCUGAUGUGAAAGCCCCCGGCUCAACCGGGGAGGGUCAUUGGAAACUGGGAGACUUGAGUGCAGAAGAGGAGAGUGGAAUUCCAUGUGUAGCGGUGAAAUGCGUAGAUAUAUGGAGGAACACCAGUGGCGAAGGCGGCUCUCUGGUCUGUAACUGACGCUGAGGCUCGAAAGCGUGGGGAGCAAACAGGAUUAGAUACCCUGGUAGUCCACGCCGUAAACGAUGAGUGCUAAGUGUUGGAGGGUUUCCGCCCUUCAGUGCUGCAGCUAACGCAUUAAGCACUCCGCCUGGGGAGUACGACCGCAAGGUUGAAACUCAAAGGAAUUGACGGGGGCCCGCACAAGCGGUGGAGCAUGUGGUUUAAUUCGAAGCAACGCGAAGAACCUUACCAGGUCUUGACAUCCUUUGACCACUCUAGAGAUAGAGCUUCCCCUUCGGGGGCAAAGUGACAGGUGGUGCAUGGUUGUCGUCAGCUCGUGUCGUGAGAUGUUGGGUUAAGUCCCGCAACGAGCGCAACCCUUAUUGUUAGUUGCCAUCAUUCAGUUGGGCACUCUAGCAAGACUGCCGGUGACAAACCGGAGGAAGGUGGGGAUGACGUCAAAUCAUCAUGCCCCUUAUGACCUGGGCUACACACGUGCUACAAUGGGAAGUACAACGAGUUGCGAAGUCGCGAGGCUAAGCUAAUCUCUUAAAGCUUCUCUCAGUUCGGAUUGCAGGCUGCAACUCGCCUGCAUGAAGCCGGAAUCGCUAGUAAUCGCGGAUCAGCACG